rnacentral:rRNA from 1 species
AGAUUGAACGCUGGCGGCAGGCCUAACACAUGCAAGUCGAGCGGCAGCACGGGUACUUGUACCUGGUGGCGAGCGGCGGACGGGUGAGUAAUGCCUAGGAAUCUGCCUGAUAGUGGGGGAUAACGUUCGGAAACGGACGCUAAUACCGCAUACGUCCUACGGGAGAAAGUGGGGGAUCUUCGGACCUCACGCAAUCAGAUGAGCCUA